UAGUGUUUUCCAAAACAGUUUUCACUUUUCAAAAACAGGGAAAACAGAAAACAAUGAGAAAACGUGUUUGGUUGCAGUUUUUCUAAAAACGUUUUUUACUCGUUUUUUGUUUUCGAAAACACCUAAAAUGAAAACAACAUUUCAUCGUUUUCAUCGUUUUCAUUUCUUCCUUCUUCUCCUUCAGAAACGAGCAGAGAAUUUCCCAGAUGAGAUGGGUUGAUUGAUUUGGUAUCAAGUUCUAGGGUUUGCAACAAUUUUUAGAUUCGAUUCAUAUUGUUGCAAAACAGACAAGGGAAAACUCGUCUUGCAAAGUACUACGUUCCUCUUGAAGAAUCUCAGAAGCACAAGGUUGAAUACGAGUAUGUAUUAUGUAGAAAAAAAGAUGGCUUCUCUAUCAAGUGAUGAUAACAUAGAUGAUAUCCGCACAUGGCCACAGUAUAUUGUGGAUUACUUUGUUCAAUUGGUUCAUGAUGAAGCCAAAAAUGGGUUACAAACCACUACAUUGGAGAAGAAGAAAUGGGGAGAAAUAGAUAAUGCUCUCUUUGCUAAGUUUGGUAAGAGAUACAACAUUCCUAAGUUGAAAGCUAAAUUCAAUCGACUGCGUAUAGAGCAUAGGGAAUUUGCAAGGUUAGUGAGUGAUACUGGUAUGGGUUGGGAUCCAGUUGCAAACACGGUCACUGCAAGUGAUGAUGCUUGGAAGCGUUACUUGAAGAAAUAUCCUGGUGCAAAACCUUCCGUAAAAAGGGGUUAGACAAUUAUUAUAUGCUUGGGGAGAUAUUUAAUAGCACAACAGCAUCUGGAAGCAUGUCUAAUGCAUCAACACGGUCUCCUCCUGACUCAGACACCGAAAGAGACUUGUAAACAGAAUUCCUUGGCAAAGGGGUACAUGUAGAACCCGCUAGCUCUGGAGACACGAGUCACCCUUCAUCACACACAAAAUCAAACAUACAUAGACGUGCUUUAGAACUUCCUAUUGAUCUUCCUCAGCGAAAGGCGACUAAAUCAUCAAGGUUUGAUGAUGCACUUGUAGCAUGGACUGAAAAUCUUAAAGUUAAAGCUGAAGUAACAAAAGCGAAGGCUGAACGUAAGAAGGAUAAGGAAGUAACAUCUCCUCUUUGUACCAUCACCGAGAUAUCAUCUAUUGAAGAUUGUAUGGAUAUAUUGGACAACAUGGAAGGAGUGGAAGAUGAUGUAUAUCUCAAAGCCAUUGACAAGUUCAGAAACCCCGACUAUAGGAGAAUUUUUAAGAAAAUGAAAGAAUCAAGGAGAAUUAUGUGGCUUAAGAGUUUGUAAUAUGUUUUUUUUCUUAGAAACUGAACUCGGUUAAGGGUUGUUGAGUAUUGUGAUUUAGAACUUGAAGUUACACUGUGACACAAUAUUUAUGUUAAUGUGAGCUUGGUUUUGUG